UUUGAAGUUUAAUGUUGUUGUUUGUUGGUUAAAAUUAUGUUAGAGGGUGUCAUUUGAUGAUCUGGGUUGUCAAAACCUAGAUCCAUAUCAUCUAGAUGCUCGAAUUUAAAGAUUUAUCAAAUCUGGAAAUGUUGGAAAAAUUCGUCUGACAACCAUAUGUCAGACCUCAUAGAUCUCUCUAUGUUAGGUGUUAGUGGUGUUUGAUGUUAUAGAGUUGGUCUUUGUAGUAAGGGCUUUAAUUUGGGACUUGCAGAAAUCCCAUAUCAUGUUUAUAUUGCAAGAUAUGAUCGGUCAAAGUACGUUGACCAAGCAUGAAUUCUGGGAAUAUGGGCAAACCCAGAAACCCAGAACGCCUGACAACGAUUUUCGAGGGCUCAGAUCUUGCUUUGUUUAGAUAUAAAGGUCAUGUUUUUGUUUUGAUGUUAUAACCUGACAUAAGGUCUUCAUAAAAAUAUUAUUAUAUCACCUAGAACAUGUAUAAUUAUAAUUAAGAAAUAUUAAUUUUCAAUUUUGAAAACCUAAUUUGGAAAUUUUAGAAAUUAAAUUGCAAACCCUAAAUUUUUUCAAACCCUAAAUUUUCCAAACCCUAAACCCUAACCAAACCUUAAACCCUAAGGGUUUGGCUAAUGUCCAAAAUGCCCUUAAAAUUAAAGACACAAUGACAUUUUUGCCCUUUGUUGCAUUAUUGUGACUUAGCUUACAAGAGUUGGUCUAGUGAGUUGAUCAACCACCCUAGAUCAGCCACAUGCUACAAAUCUCAGCAGCCAUCCCAGCCAUAACAUUACACACAUCAAUAUAUAAGAGAUUUAGGAGAGAGAAAUCCUACUUUACUUCUCAUUAUUGCCAAGCCACUCUCUCUCAUCCAUUUCGAAAAUCUAGAGUGAGAGAGAUAGAAAAGUUAAGAUAUGAUAGCCUCUUAUCAAGCCAAGAACAACAAUCGGAAGUCAGAAAUCAAGAAUCAAAGCUCUAAAUGUAUAAAACCCCCCAAACCUAGAAAUCUUUUGAUUUGAAGUUUAAUGUUGUUGUUUGUUGGUUAAAAUUAUGUUAGAGGGUGUCAUUUGAUGAUCUGGGUUGUCAAAACCUAGAUCCAUAUCAUCUAGAUGCUCGAAUUUAAAGAUUUAUCAAAUCUGGAAAUGUUGGAAAAAUUCGUCUGACAACCAUAUGUCAGACCUCAUAGAUCUCUCUAUGUUAGGUGUUAGUGGUGUUUGAUGUUAUAGAGUUGGUCUUUGUAGUAAGGGCUUUAAUUUGGGACUUGCAGAAAUCCCAUAUCAUGUUUAUAUUGCAAG
rnacentral:lncRNA from 1 species